CGCCAGACUCCUACGGGAGGCAGCAGUGGGGAAUAUUGCACAAUGGGGGAAACCCUAAUGCAGCGACGCCGCGUGAGCGAUGAAGUAUUUCGGUAUGUAAAGCUCUAUCAGCAGGGAAGAAAAUGACGGUACCUGAGUAAGAAGCCCCGGCUAACUACGUGCCAGCAGCCGCGGUAAUACGUAGGGGGCAAGCGUUAUCCGGAUUUACUGGGUGUAAAGGGAGCGUAGACGGCCAGACAAGUCUGAAGUGAAAAUCCAGCGCUUAACGUUGGAAGUGCUUUGGAAACUGCCGGGCUGGAGUGCAGGAGGGGCAGGCGGAAUUCCUAGUGUAGCGGUGAAAUGCGUAGAUAUUAGGAGGAACACCAGUGGCGAAGGCGGCCUGCUGGACUGCAACUGACGUUGAGGCUCGAAGGCGUGGGGAGCAAACAGGAUUAGAUACCCUAGUAGUA
rnacentral:rRNA from 1 species